UGGCAACCUUCGUGCACACACUCCACUUCCAUGAUGGAGACUGGAGGAUGAAGAAAGAAAUAAAACCUUUUCCGUCUUUUUCAACCAAAUGGCUCUCAUUAUGUUUUGAACCUUGUCCUGUCACAUUUUGGAUGUGGGUUCUAACAUUCUGCACUUCACUAAGAUGACAGAACAAGGCAACCAGAACAUGGAUGCAGAAGAUAUAGCAAUCCUUUCCAAGGACCUGAAGGAGGAAUUUAGGAAGCUUUUUGGAAUUUCUACCUAGAUUUUUGGAUCUACAGAUAUUAAAAGUCUGUGGGCUGAAGGCCAGCAUGCUGAUGAUGCUGAUGCCAUUGCCAGCCCCCAUCACAGCCCAGUCUCAAAAUGGGCUCUGCCUCUAGGGGACUCUCAUCCCUACCAUUGAUAAUGGGCUCCAACCAAGCUUUUGGAGGGGUCUCCUCUGCCGAUGUCAGCCUCCUCCCAACCCCCCCUGAAUGAUCAUGACCUUUAUCACCAGCUGCCAUUCACCCCCUCCAAAGGGUCUCCAACCUGGGUAUUGCUGGCUGUCAUCACUGGCCACCGACUGCCAAAACAGGCCUACUGGCCACCUCCUCGGCCAUUGCUGGGCCCCGGGCUCACUCCGAGAACUGUCUCUCUUCAUUUGGGUAAACCCAUAAAACUGCUUCUCUGCUUUGUCCUGCAGCCAGGCCAACCCACAGGACUGUCUUUGUACCUUGCAUCACCUUUGGACCGGCUCUCUGAACAUAUUUUCCUUUCCCUUUGGUCUCCUCUGCCUCUUGAUUCUGCACGUAGGCCUUUCUUUUCCAGCUUUUGGACUCUAUGUUUGUUUUAGUAAGACACUUGUUUGUGUCUAACAAGCUUUUUUUAUUUCCACAUGUCAAGUCCAAUUACAACCAUCUACAAGUUUUUUGAAAUACAUCUGAGAAGAUUAUGGAAUGAAGAGUACAAAGAUUUAGCUUCAAAUCUUAUUUAGAAGUGUAACAUACUAGAGGAAAACCAUCUCUGUAAUGAUCUUGGAUGUCAGGAGUAAACCACAGAACUGGCACACCAAAUCCAGUGCCAAUUAAAGGCCCUGUACUGUA